rnacentral:lncRNA from 1 species
GCAAACAUGCCCAACCUUUACUCACAUUCGAGAAAACACUCCCAAUAAGAUUGCUUGCUCCAAAAUCGAAGAGGCACCGUCCUCCGAAUCUCGAGAGCCAGACUCCCAACAUGACUACUUUCUCAAAAUCGAAGAGAGGGUAAAGGAACAGUACCAUUGCUGGAUAAUUGGAAAGUCCCUGUGUGUCAACCUUUGUGCUUCGUGGCAAGGUAGACUAGCAAACAUGCCCCAACCUUUACUCACAUUCGAGACAACACUCCCAACAAGAUUGCUUGCUCCAAAAUCGAAGAGGCACCGCCCUUCGAAUCUCGAGAGCCAGACUCCCAACAUGAUUACUUCCUCAAAAAUCGAAGAGACACUGCUCUCCGAAUCUCGAGAGUCAUACCCCCAACAUGAUUGCUUUCUCAAAAAUCGAAGAGGCAUCGUUCUCCGAAUCUCGAGAGCCAGAUACCACAGACCACUUUUUCAAAGUGCUCUGACAGAGUUAAAACAUGUGAAACUGGCAGCUCCCACUACCGUGCUAUGACCAAGCAGGGUAAAGGAAUAGCAUUACUACUUGUUGUUAGGGAGACUCCUAUAU